GCCGCAGCGAGGGGCACCUCGAGGACUGUCUAACCUGAGAAUGGUGAAACAUCAGGGUCAAUCUCAGGUUCGUCAGCCCAUGAGAUGCCUCCUCCAGAGCG
rnacentral:pre_miRNA from 12 species